CGCCAUCUUGGACGGCCGUGUCGUGCCGUCCUCGUCUCUGCACACGGCCCGCCCGCCGAGCUGAGGUGUCAGGCGCAGCCGUGUAUGUUUCCUACCAGGGACGCUGCUUUGAAGUGCCGGGUGGGAGGCCUCUGCACUCGGCCCCCUAGGAGCAAGUGAAACUAGACUGAGCACAAAGGAGAAGAGAAGGAAAAAAAAGAGGCUCAGCAGGAAGACUUUGAGAACACCCCCAUCUAAGAAAACCACAGUGAGGAAAGGCCAACAAAGUGCUGAGAAACAGAGAAGACUGUUGAGGAAAGAAGCAGAUGAAUUCAGCAGAAUUGGAGUCCAGUUCUCUAGGAAGCACCUCCUGGUAAUCUCUGGCCACCCUGGAGUUGUCAUCCCUGCAGAUUAUUGAAAUGGCUCGCCUAUGCAGCUGGCUAGGAUCCAAUUUGGCUACAGCCCGCCCUCGCUGAAGUCCGUGUUCAGUUCAUCUCUCUGGUAAUCCUCUGACUCUACUCUUGGAUUUAGUCCAAGUAUCUCUCUUGUUCUUAAUGAGUUCCAGGACGGAAGAUUCCACAGCCUCCUCUGACAGCUUAUAUUAUAGUGCUUUAUAAUACUGUCAAGAAAUGCCUAUUUCUACUACAACUCAUUUCCUCUUUUUCUAAAUGAGUGAAAAUAGAGAUGAGACCACCGCUGUCUUCUCUCCUGGUAGCCCUUGUGUCCUAUGAUCCUGUGAAGGUAGUUUAGUGCGUUAGCCCUCAAGUUUCUUUCUGGAAAGUGUAGGGGAAUAUAUCUUUGUAUGUUCCCAAUCUGAGGCACUAUUAAAUGUGAAUGAAUCAACUCUCUUGAGAGUUGAAGUGAUUCUUUUGGGUACUUGUUCCAGCUGAGCUGUUAUCUCACAAAGACUUGUUUCUUUUCCUAGUUGGCAUUCAUUUAAUACUUUCACAUAAGCCUGAGGAGGGCUGACAGUUUAUUUUCCUGAUGAUUGGGCAAAGCUCAUUGUUCUGACACUAACCUGUCUGCUUAAUAUCCAGCUCUUUGAACCCAUGUCUGAUCCUCAGUUCUGGAACCUUGCCUCCUGUUUGCAGUAUGGUCACUUCAAGGUCUAUGGCUUAUAUUGAC
rnacentral:lncRNA from 1 species